UGCUCUCUCCGAGAAUUCAAUUAAAACGGAGGCUCUGAGCUGCUGGCGGCGGCUGUUGCUCCACCGGGGAGUUUCAGUUAACACACUCUUCUUGCAGCCAUCUCCACUCCACAGUUUGAACUCCACUGACUUUUAGUUGGAGUAUUUGACUCGUUUACGGUUUUCUGAGAAUGCAUCAUGUAAAGAAGGACUUGAAGGAACAGGGGAGAUUGUGGGAGUCUGUAAGAGAGCUCGUUCUAGGCAGGAAGCAGAAGGAGCCGAGGGAGACGUUUACCUGACUGCUGCAGGGGUAGUAUAUUGGCUGGCACAGCGGCAUAGGAUGAAUGGAGAAGAGAUUCGCAUAAACCCAUGGAGCAAACUAACAAUGUGUGCGAUUUUCGGUGGUGUCGGGUUCCUUAUGAUGCUCUUGGCAGGAUGUGAGCCACCAAUGAAGAAGACAAGGAUGUGGGUGGUGGCUCGAGCCAGAGUUCCCAUCAGCGGUGGAAGUCACCCUGGUGUACCCUGGUGUCCCAGUCCUCACCGUUAUUAACUCCACUGGUUGUAGCCGUCACAUCUUUGGCAUUGGAACUGAAGCACCGAAGAUAAUUUCUACUUUCUCCACCGUCUAACUUUCAGUUUUAAGGGGAACUUGUCAUAUGUAAAAAAAAACAAAAAAUUGUAAAUGUUUCUUUGUGGGCAUCUUUUUACAUUUGUUUCUUUCUUCCUGGAAUCAUAUUUAGUGGCCUUAUGAUAAGCAAGAAGAGGUGAUGUUUCCAAAGAUUAUAAUUAUAGAAAAAACGGAGUGUUGGCACAGGCCUGUAAUCUGAGCAGUUGGAAGGUUUGAAGUUCAAGGUCUUCUUCAGCUUCGCAGUGAGUCAGGUCAGGGGCUAGGCUGCCAUACUUGAGACCCUGUCCCACAUUUAGAAAAGGAAAACUCAAAGAAAUAGAAAUAUCCAAAUCUCCCAUUUUUCCCAAGGGGCAGAUGGUAGAUUUCCUUAGCAGAACAUACACCUUCCCAGAGAGAACAAGAUUCAAUGAACGUGUAAAUAGUAUCUUGUUUUCUUUCUUUCUUUACUAAAAUGAUACACCCAGCACAUUUUCAGUUUGGUAACUUUCAUUUUGGUUUUUAGUUAAUGUUGUUUUAUUAGCUUCUAUCCCUUGCACCGCAUUGAGAUCCAUCACACUGUUAUCCAAAUUUCUGCUGUACUGGGAACAUCCUGAUCACUACCCCUAACGCCCCUGACCAUCUUCACUUGGCUAAUUUCUAAAUUGGUAACUAAUUACAUGCAGAUAAUUAAAGAAUAAGCAAGAGUUCCCACCGUUAGGUAAAGUUGGGGGCAUGAUGUUAAGAAAGAGAAAGCCAAUUUCAAAUCUCGAUUGUUUGGAACAAAAUUUCAAAGUUAAAAGUAUCACGAGGCAAAAAUUCCAAGUAUUAGAAUUAUACUCAGUAGUUUCAUUUCCCUUGUGAAAUUUUAUUUUAAGAGAAUAAAAUGUGGCCCAUAAAGGUAUCUGAUCUCUCAGUGUGCCUUAUGCUUCAUAUAAAUCAAAUCCAGAAAAUAAGUGGGGCAUAUGUAAAAUGAAACCUUAAACAUACCUGGGACCAUCUUUUGCGAGGCACCGAUUGCUGCGUUAUCAAUUUUUUCUUGGAGCGUUUAUUAAAGAAUAUCUUUUGUUUUAAUUUGCCCCACACAAAGCAGCUUAGAGACAUUUACAGAGACGAAGAGGGAGCUUCAAUUAACCUUGGCUGCCGAGAUAUUUUAUGUGCAUGUAUUAUGCUACAACAGGGUAAUUACCUAAUACCUUUUGUGAAGGAAUUCUAAUAAAGAAUGAAAUUGAUUUAUACAUA
rnacentral:lncRNA from 1 species